CCUACGGGAGGCAGCAGUGGGGAAUAUUGGGCAAUGGGCGCAAGCCUGACCCAGCAACGCCGCGUGAAGGAAGAAGGCUUUCGGGUUGUAAACUUCUUUUCUCAGGGACGAAGCAAGUGACGGUACCUGAGGAAUAAGCCAAGGCUAACUACGUGCAAGCAGCCGCGGUAAUACGUAGGUGGCAAGCGUUAUCCGUAUUUACUGGGUGGAAAGGGCGGGUAGGCGGGACUGCAAGUUAGAUGUGAAAACCACGGGCUCAACCUGUGGCCUGCAUUUGAAACUUUAGUUCUUGAGUACUGGAGAGGCAGACGGAAUUCCUAGUGUAGCGGUGAAAUGCGUAGAUAUUAGGAGGAACACCAGUGGCGAAGGCGGUCUGCUGGACAGCAACUGACGCUGAGGCGCGAAAGCGUGGGGAGCAAACAGGAUUAGAUACCCCUGUAGUC
rnacentral:rRNA from 1 species